GAGUUGCUUGAGCAGGCUUAUGAAACUGCAGUUGUUGUGGUUCAUGGACAGGUGGAGAAGGCAUACAAGGAGUCUGGAAUGAUGGUUCUUGAUAUUGACGAUGUUGAGUACCAUACCACCCCAGGCUAGGGUCAUUCCACCCACGAUUGUUGCUAUAACCAUACCGCACAGGGGAGAAUUUGUCAAGAAACUAAUCCUCAAGAUCUUCCCAACUGGUGACGGAUCCUGGAGGAAGACAAUACAACCAACCCCUUGCUGCUUCUUGUAAUGAAUGCGGAAAAGCCCUUAAAAACAUGUCUUCAUCUGAGACAUCAGGAGGUUUCUUUGAAGAGCAAAUGGUGUAGAACUCCUCCAAAUGUCUAUGUGGACAUUCACCUGCAAAACCAUAAAACCUAGGCAGCAAAUGUAUUAGUCCAGUGUUGAAAACACAACGAAUAUCCUCC
rnacentral:lncRNA from 1 species